rnacentral:rRNA from 1 species
GAUGAACGCUAGCGGCAGGCCUAAUACAUGCAAGUCGAACGGUGUCUUCGGACAUAGUGGCGCACGGGUGCGUAACACGUAUGCAGCCUACCUUACAUUGGGGGAUAGCCUUUCGAAAGGGAGAUUAAUACCGCAUAAGACAGUAGCUGGGCAUCCAGCAGCUGUUAAAGAUUUAUCGAUGUAAGCUGGGCAUGCGUCCAAUUAGCUAGUUGGUGAGGUAACGGCUCACCAAGGCAAUGAUUGGUAGGGGAACUGAGAGGUCAAUCCCCCACACUGGCACUGAGAUACGAGCCAGACUCCUACGGGAGGCAGCAGUAGGGAAUAUUGGGCAAUGGACGCAAGUCUGACCCAGCCAUGCCGCGUGCAGGAUGAAGGCGUUAUGCGUUGUAAACUGCUUUUAUACAGGAAGAAACGACUCUUGCGAGAGGCAUUGACGGUACUGUAUGAAUAAGCACCGGCUAACUCCGUGCCAGCCGCCGCAGUAAUAC